CUUAAAAUAAACAAGCUCAAGAUAAUGCAGCCUUUCUUUCCAGCCAGAAAUGCUGGUUUCCUGCUUAAAUGCAUACCUUUGAUGAUGGUUCACUGGCAGAAUUUGCCUGAGAUCAUAUAUGAAGAUAUUGAAGAGUCCUAGGCCUAUGACAGAACUUUCAGUCAUAUUUAAGAAGUACAUUUUCUGAUCUUGUAGACUAACUUCUGGAAUGGGACCAAUUACCAUUAUGACGAGAUCCAAUCCUGUUAGCUUUUUCACAAUCCUCCAAAAUUUGUUAGAUGCUGCCACCUGCUUGGAAGAUGACUACAAAGCAAUUUUUA